CGUAUGCAACCUACCUAUAACUGGGGGAUAGCUCAGAGAAAUCUGAAUUAAUACCGCAUAACAUUGUUGAUUGGCAUCAAUUAACAAUUAAAACUCCGGUGGUUAUAGAUGGGCAUGCGUGACAUUAGCUAGUUGGUAAGGUAAUGGCUUACCAAGGCUACGAUGUCUAGGGGGUCUGAGAGGAUGAUCCCCCACACUGGUACUGAGACACGGACCAG
rnacentral:rRNA from 1 species